UUUUCGGUUUUCAUAUGUUUUAUGGGGGAGAAUACAAGUAAAAUGUGUAGAUCUAUGUGUAUGUGUAUGUUAUGUGUGAUUUCAUGUGUUUAUGUGAUAAAUAUGUAACAAAAAGAAUGGAAAUCUCGAGAUCAAUGCAUCUAAGAGGAAGAUAAACAUGAUCUAGAACAUCUUACACUAAACAAGUUAAGAAAAUUACCCUCUAAGAUUAAAGUAUACAUAUUGCAACAUAAAACUCACUUUUGGGCUAAAAUUGUCAAACAAACGAAAGUUGGCUUCAAAAAUUUCUAUUCAAGGUUUUCUCAAGGAUUAAAAGAGUUAAAAUAGUACAAAUAAGUGUUUUUAUGAAUAUCAUAUUGUUUUAAAGGUUAGAAAUGAAAUUUAUGGCUUAAUGGGCCAAAUUUUGGGCUUUUCGGCCCAAUGAGCCAAAACUUGCGAAAUUUUCAACUUUCAAGGGGUUGAAACGAUAAACUUCUCAAAAAAGGGGGUAAAAUGGUGAAUAAUACUAAUUCAGGGGUUAAAAUGAUGUAUUUUCCAAACAAGGAUCAAAAUUGUAAAGUUUUUUGGAUUUUGGGUCAAAAUUGUAAAAGUUGCAAAAAGUUUGGGCUUUAACCGAAAAAUACUUUUUUGGAAGGGCUGAAACUGCCGAAGAAUAAGUUUUGAGCUAAAAAUAUCACUUGAACAAGCCUUUGGGUCAAAGGUGUCAAGAAAAUGGUUUAAGGGCUUAAAAUAUCUUUAUAUAUAUAAAAGGACUAAAAUUGUCAAUUUUACCAAAGAAGGGCUGAAAGGGGUUCAAACCAAGAUUUUAAGUCAAUUAUUUAAUUUUAAGAUAUUUGAGUUAAAAUAAAAAUACCAAACUACAAUUCAUGAAAAUGGAAAGAUGAAAAUACGUAUAAUUCCAACAUCAUUAAAAAUAACCGACCGGCCUUGUUCCGGUGCAAAAUUAACAAUUACCCGAUCAAACUUUCCAACAAUUAAACUAUACCUAAAACACGUAAACAUUAAAUUAUUUGGGCUUGAAAGUUCCAAACAUGCUUGUUGGGCCUUUGUGACCCAUUAACAUGAUUUUUGGGCCCAAGGGAUAAUUAUAAAUGUUAUUAGGCCUUCUAUGACCCAAUUUCAUAUUUAAGGGACCCUCAAUGGCUCUUAUGUGCUAUUGGGCCUUAGUGGCCCAUUAGCAUUGCUAGUAAGGUCCAUGUGAAUCAAAUGUGAAAUGAGCCAGUGUGUCCUUCGUAUAUCCAAUAGACAUAAAUAAUACGUGGGAUUAGUAGGAUUUUGUAAUCCUCUUCUCCUCGUUUAUUAAGCCUAUCGUCAAUCCAAGUAAACAAGUACAGGUUGAUAAUCAAUAGUAAUCAAAGUCAAUUGGGAUUUAGUGAGUAAUAACGGGUGGCACCAACGUGUGUCGGUCGUAGUCUGUAGUUAUAAUCAAAGUCUCCUGGAGGGAGAGCUAGAGUUUGUGUAUAGAUCUAUACGGGGGUGACUCCCCCACACCUCAGUUGUUCGCUACAGUUAGACUCGGCCAGUCUAGGGUGACAAAAUCUUAAGAUCAAUUCCUGCAUUCACCAGAGUGCCAAUACAGACGAGUUAGUCAUUAUCAUGCAUGGUUAUAAUGACUCACAUAAAUAAAUCCAACAAUAAUCAAGUAAUCAAGGCAAAUCAAAAAUCAUUCAGGUGAUGGAAUUACAAUUCGAACCGUUAUAUGAUAUAUUUAUUAUUUUCGGAAAAGAUCGGGUUUCCCGGGGAAGUUCAACAUUUUUCAUUGGUACUUUUAAUACGAAGCUUUUCAACUAUACACGUCUGGAAAUCAUCAUGCAUAUAUUUACGGAUCUUUACACUUUUAUAUAAACAAUGGACUUUUCAGAAAAUAUCGGGUUUUCUAGGUUGUUUUCUUUUAAACUACACAAAACAUUUUUCAUAUCAAACCUGCUUAUAAACUCCCCAACAUUCCAUAUGUUGACCAUUUUUCAAAAUAACUUGUAUUCUUAGGUAACAGGUAAGCUGAGGAGUAGUACCAAGUAUGUUAGGGUGUUGUGCUUUUGAAAAGUAUCAAACUCUUUAUGUUAUGGAUUUGUAAUGUUAAAACAAUGUACUUGAUGUGAACAAUUUCAGUUGUAAGAUAUUGAUGCAUGGUGAUGUUUAUGUUAUGAUUCAUGUAUAUUCAUUGUGAUGAUAUUCAAUUUAAGUCACGUGAGCCCUCAGAUGUUUCCGCCGUCUGGUUCAGGGGUGUCACACAUAGAUAUGAAGUAUUUAAUAUUAAUACAUGAUAUAUGUGCUUAUUAUCCGUGUUCCUGAUAUAUCAUAUAUAUGCUAGAUGAACGAUUUAUACAAGUUUUAUGAGAUUUAAACUGUGUAUGUGUAUGUUAUGUGUGAUUUCAUGUGUUUAUGUGAUAAAUAUGUAACAAAAAGAAUGGAAAUCUCGAGAUCAAUGCAUCUAAGAGGAAGAUAAACAUGAUCUAGAACAUCUUACACUAAACAAGUUAAGAAAAUUACCCUCUAAGAUUAAAGUAUACAUAUUGCAACAUAAAACUCACUUUUGGGCUAAAAUUGUCAAACAAACGAAAGUUGGCUUCAAAAAUUUCUAUUCAAGGUUUUCUCAAGGAUUAAAAGAGUUAAAAUAGUACAAAUAAGUGUUUUUAUGAAUAUCAUAUUGUUUUAAAGGUUAGAAAUGAAAUUUAUGGCUUAAUGGGCCAAAUUUUGGGCUUUUCGGCCCAAUGAGCCAAAACUUGCGAAAUUUUCAACUUUCAAGGGGUUGAAACGAUAAACUUCUCAAAAAAGGGGGUAAAAUGGUGAAUAAUACUAAUUCAGGGGUUAAAAUGAUGUAUUUUCCAAACAAGGAUCAAAAUUGUAAAGUUUUUUGGAUUUUGGGUCAAAAUUGUAAAAGUUGCAAAAAGUUUGGGCUUUAACCGAAAAAUACUUUUUUGGAAGGGCUGAAACUGCCGAAGAAUAAGUUUUGAGCUAAAAAUAUCACUUGAACAAGCCUUUGGGUCAAAGGUGUCAAGAAAAUGGUUUAAGGGCUUAAAAUAUCUUUAUAUAUAUAAAAGGACUAAAAUUGUCAAUUUUACCAAAGAAGGGCUGAAAGGGGUUCAAACCAAGAUUUUAAGUCAAUUAUUUAAUUUUAAGAUAUUUGAGUUAAAAUAAAAAUACCAAACUACAAUUCAUGAAAAUGGAAAGAUGAAAAUACGUAUAAUUCCAACAUCAUUAAAAAUAACCGACCGGCCUUGUUCCGGUGCAAAAUUAACAAUUACCCGAUCAAACUUUCCAACAAUUAAACUAUACCUAAAACACGUAAACAUUAAAUUAUUUGGGCUUGAAAGUUCCAAACAUGCUUGUUGGGCCUUUGUGACCCAUUAACAUGAUUUUUGGGCCCAAGGGAUAAUUAUAAAUGUUAUUAGGCCUUCUAUGACCCAAUUUCAUAUUUAAGGGACCCUCAAUGGCUCUUAUGUGCUAUUGGGCCUUAGUGGCCCAUUAGCAUUGCUAGUAAGGUCCAUGUGAAUCAAAUGUGAAAUGAGCCAGUGUGUCCUUCGUAUAUCCAAUAGACAUAAAUAAUACGUGGGAUUAGUAGGAUUUUGUAAUCCUCUUCUCCUCGUUUAUUAAGCCUAUCGUCAAUCCAAGUAAACAAGUACAGGUUGAUAAUCAAUAGUAAUCAAAGUCAAUUGGGAUUUAGUGAGUAAUAACGGGUGGCACCAACGUGUGUCGGUCGUAGUCUGUAGUUAUAAUCAAAGUCUCCUGGAGGGAGAGCUAGAGUUUGUGUAUAGAUCUAUACGGGGGUGACUCCCCCACACCUCAGUUGUUCGCUACAGUUAGACUCGGCCAGUCUAGGGUGACAAAAUCUUAAGAUCAAUUCCUGCAUUCACCAGAGUGCCAAUACAGACGAGUUAGUCAUUAUCAUGCAUGGUUAUAAUGACUCACAUAAAUAAAUCCAACAAUAAUCAAGUAAUCAAGGCAAAUCAAAAAUCAUUCAGGUGAUGGAAUUACAAUUCGAACCGUUAUAUGAUAUAUUUAUUAUUUUCGGAAAAGAUCGGGUUUCCCGGGGAAGUUCAACAUUUUUCAUUGGUACUUUUAAUACGAAGCUUUUCAACUAUACACGUCUGGAAAUCAUCAUGCAUAUAUUUACGAAUCUUUACACUUUUAUAUAAACAAUGGACUUUUCAGAAAAUAUCGGGUUUUCUAGGUUGUUUUCUUUUAAACUACACAAAACAUUUUUCAUAUCAAACCUGCUUAUAAACUCACCAACAUUCCAUAUGUUGACCAUUUUUCAAAAUAACUUGUAUUCUUAGGUAACAGGUAAGCUGAGGAGUAGUACCAAGUAUGUUAGGGUGUUGUGCUUUUGAAAAGUAUCAAACUCUUUAUGUUAUGGAUUUGUAAUGCUAAAACAAUGUACUUG
rnacentral:lncRNA from 1 species